AGUGAACGCUGGCGGUAGGCCUAACACAUGCAAGUCGAACGGCAGCACAGUAAGAGCUUGCUCUUACGGGUGGCGAGUGGCGGACGGGUGAGGAAUACAUCGGAAUCUACUUUUUCGUGGGGGAUAACGUAGGGAAACUUACGCUAAUACCGCAUACGACCUACGGGUGAAAGCAGGGGAUCUUCGGACCUUGCGCGAUUGAAUGAGCCGAUGUCGGAUUAGCUAGUUGGCGGGGUAAAGGCCCACCAAGGCGACGAUCCGUAGCUGGUCGGAGAGGAUGAGCGGGCAGGCAGGAGGUGAGAAAAGGUCGAGACUGCUACGGGAGGCAGCAGUGGGGAGUGUUGGGCAAUGGGCGGCAGGCGGGAGGAGCAACGCUGCGUGAGGGAUGAAGAUGUUCGGGUCGUAAAACUCUGUUAUUAGGGAAGAACAAAAGUGUAAGUAACGAGGAACGUCUUGACGGUAGCUAAGCAGAAAGGCAAGGAUAACUACGUG
rnacentral:rRNA from 1 species